GACGAACGCUGGCGGCGUGCCUAAUACAUGCAAGUCGAGCGGACUUUCAAGAAGCUUGCUUUUUGAAAGUUAGCGGCGGACGGGUGAGUAACACGUGGGCAACCUGCCUGUAAGACGGGGAUAACUCCGGGAAACCGGGGCUAAUACCGGAUAAUAUCUUUCUUCGCAGGAAGGAAGGUUGAAAGGCGGCGCAAGCUGCCGCUUGCAGAUGGGCCCGCGGCGCAUUAGCUAGUUGGUGAGGUAACGGCUCACCAAGGCGACGAGGCGUAGCCCACCUGAGAGGGUGAUCGGCCACACUGGGACUGAGACACGGCCCAGACUCCUACGGGAGGCAGCAGUAGGGAAUCUUCCGCAAUGGACGAAAGUCUGACGGAGCAACGCCGCGUGAGCGAAGAAGGUCUUCGGAUCGUAAAGCUCUGUUGUCAGGGAAGAACAAGUACCGUUCGAAUAGGGCGGUACCUUGACGGUACCUGACCAGAAAGCCACGGCUAACUACGUGCCAGCCGCCGCCGUAA
rnacentral:rRNA from 1 species